AUUGAACGCUGGCGGCAGGCCUAACACAUGCAAGUCGAGCGGUAGCACAGAGAGCUUGCUCUCGGGUGACGAGCGGCGGACGGGUGAGUAAUGUCUGGGAAACUGCCUGAUGGAGGGGGAUAACUACUGGAAACGGUAGCUAAUACCGCAUAACGUCGCAAGACCAAAGUGGGGGACCUUCGGGCCUCAUGCCAUCAGAUGUGCCCAGAUGGGAUUAGCUAGUAGGUGGGGUAACGGCUCACCUAGGCGACGAUCCCUAGCUGGUCUGAGAGGAUGACCAGCCACACUGGAACUGAGACACGGUCCAGACUCCUACGGGAGGCAGCAGUGGGGAAUAUUGCACAAUGGGCGCAAGCCUGAUGCAGCCAUGCCGCGUGUGUGAAGAAGGCCUUCGGGUUGUAAAGCACUUUCAGCGGGGAGGAAGGCGUUAAGGUUAAUAACCUUGUCGAUUGACGUUACCCGCAGAAGAAGCACCGGCUAACUCCGUGCCAGCAGCCGCGGUAAUACGGAGGGUGCAAGCGUUAAUCGGAAUUACUGGGCGUAAAGCGCACGCAGGCGGUCUGUCAAGUCGGAUGUGAAAUCCCCGGGCUCAACCUGGGAACUGCAUUCGAAACUGGCAGGCUAGAGUCUUGUAGAGGGGGGUAGAAUUCCAGGUGUAGCGGUGAAAUGCGUAGAGAUCUGGAGGAAUACCGGUGGCGAAGGCGGCCCCCUGGACAAAGACUGACGCUCAGGUGCGAAAGCGUGGGGAGCAAACAGGAUUAGAUACCCUGGUAGUCCACGCCGUAAACGAUGUCGAUUUGGAGGUUGUGCCCUUGAGGCGUGGCUUCCGGAGCUAACGCGUUAAAUCGACCGCCUGGGGAGUACGGCCGCAAGGUUAAAACUCAAAUGAAUUGACGGGGGCCCGCACAAGCGGUGGAGCAUGUGGUUUAAUUCGAUGCAACGCGAAGAACCUUACCUGGUCUUGACAUCCACAGAACUUUCCAGAGAUGGAUUGGUGCCUUCGGGAACUGUGAGACAGGUGCUGCAUGGCUGUCGUCAGCUCGUGUUGUGAAAUGUUGGGUUAAGUCCCGCAACGAGCGCAACCCUUAUCCUUUGUUGCCAGCGGUUCGGCCGGGAACUCAAAGGAGACUGCCAGUGAUAAACUGGAGGAAGGUGGGGAUGACGUCAAGUCAUCAUGGCCCUUACGACCAGGGCUACACACGUGCUACAAUGGCAUAUACAAAGAGAAGCGACCUCGCGAGAGCAAGCGGACCUCAUAAAGUAUGUCGUAGUCCGGAUUGGAGUCUGCAACUCGACUCCAUGAAGUCGGAAUCGCUAGUAAUCGUAGAUCAGAAUGCUACGGUGAAUACGUUCCCGGGCCUUGUACACGCCGCCCGUCACACCAUGGGAGUGGGUUGCAAAAGAAGUAGGUAGCUUAACCUUCGGGAGGGCGCUUACCACUUUGUGAUUCAUGACUGGGGUGA
rnacentral:rRNA from 2 species